AUUGAACGCUGGCGGCAGGCCUAACACAUGCAAGUCGAGCGGAGCGGCGGACGGGUGAGUAAUGCCUAGGAAUCUGCCUGGUAGUGGGGGAUAACGUCCGGAAACGGGCGCUAAUACCGCAUACUAUCAGAUGAGCCUAGUGCGGAUUAGCUAGUUGGUGGGGUAAAGGCCUACCAAGGCGACGAUCCGUAACUGGUCUGAGAGGAUGAUCAGUCACACGGGAACUGAUAAACGGUCCAGACUCCAACGGGAGGCAGCAGGGGGGAAUAUUGGAAAAUGGGCGAAAGCCUGAGCAAGCCAUGCCGGGGGUGGGAAGAAGGUCUUCGGAUUGUAAAGCACGUUAAGUUGGGAGGCGUUACCAACAGAAUAAGCACCGGCUAACUUCGUGCCAGCAGCCGCGGUAAUAC
rnacentral:rRNA from 1 species